ensembl:lncRNA
UCAUCUGCUGCUUUAUGUAUCUUCUACAAACACAGAAAAUAGUUACUUGUGACAUAAAGUCAGUGUAAUAAUACUGUCAUCUAGAAAAAUUAGCAAUGCAGAGAGCUGGCUGCAUGACAAAAAGAAAAAAGAAAAAAAAUCCAAAAAUAAUCAAAUAUCCAAUAUCUAAUCUGGUAAUUGGCCACACCAGUAUCAGUGAAGCCACAGUUCUCAGCUUGGCGUUACAUUAAAAUAAGAGGAGAGGCUUUGAUAACAAAGAAGAGGGAAAACCCAACUGCAUACAAGUGUUACAUACAAAACAGGUGAUAUCAGCAUCUUAAACUUGACGAUGCUCUUUUAGCCGUGUCAUAAUGUCAGGAAAUUUGAAUUCAAACUCAAAAACAAUUUAAGGGUUUGUUUACAGAAAACUCGGGAGUCACAGACUCUGAACUGCUGAGUAAACAGGUAACUGGAUCCUUUACAGGAGCGUCACAGGGACUUCUGCCAAAGAGGGGAGGACACGUUAGAGCUGGCUGAGGUAAUUGUUUCUGUCACGGUUUGAAGUUGUUUAGAGAUUUGGUUUGAUUGCUUACUUGUUUCUCUUCUCUAUAGCAGGCUGCAGCGAGGGAGCCAGAAGAACAGAGGCUCUUAAUACCUGCUGUGAAGCAGUCAGAACAAAUUAUGGCUGGUUUGACAGGAUUAACAUCAUUUGCUCUCGUACACUGUAAUGUUUCAAUGUUUUCAUUGUCGUGGGAAAGGUUUACCCAACAUAACCCCCACACCCACCCAAGACUCUGUGUUUUCCAUAUAGGCUGACACAUAACAGCAUCAGUCCCCCAUACGCAGGCUCAAACAGAAGGAGAGAUUCACUAAAUGAAUAAAAGUGGUGGCACAUUACCCCUACAGGAGCCCCUACUCAACCCAUACGAAGCUCCCGGUGCACGUUUUCUGUGCUGAUGGUCUUUUUCUUCAUCGUUAUGUCCUGGCUUGGCUUGAGUUAUGUUGCCCUAUAACUUUGUGUGUCAACUGGUUGAGUUGAUGUGGUUCUUAGACACUUCCAGUUUAAAAUAAUACCAGUUACAGUUGAUUAUAGAAUGUCCAGGGAACAAAUUGCACUUGUUGCAUUUAUUAUAUAUAUUUAUAUACUUGUGCUAACUAGGCCAAUUCAAAGAUAUUGAAUUUGACCCAGUACAGCACAGUUUAUCUAAUUUAGAUUGGGACUAACAAAAAUGGAUCGCAGGUGAAAGUUGUAAUCCUUUUGUAAAUUGGAAACAGAGUUGGGUGGAUAAUAUGAGCGCAUUGUGCAACACAGUCAUGUGUUCUGGCGAGCUGAGCGUCCUACAAAAACACGAGAGACGUGACUACAACCUGCCUUCCUCCCCUCGCCUCCAACCAGAUGACCGCCCCUCCCUAGAGCUCUGGGUUGCUCCCCAACUGGGUCUAGAGAGUAUUUUAAAUUCAGGGAAUUUAAAAUAGAAAGUAGCUCGUCCACAGAAGGACUGGUAGCUCCCCUUACGAUAAGGGUUCAGAUCGCGCAAACAGGUGUGAAAUGUGUGUGUUUAGUUAGUUAGUUUGUUUGCUUGUUUUAAUCAAUUUUAAAUCAUGCUUUUUAUUUGUUUUUGUUUCUAAUGUCUCUGUAAAGCACUUUGAAUCACCUUGUUGUUGAAUUGUGCUAUACAAAUAAAUUUGCCUUGCCUUGCCCUGAGCCUGGUUCUACUGGAGGUCACUUCCAGUUAAAGGGGAUUUCUUCCCUCCCACAGUUGCCAAGCGCUUGUUCAUGGGGGUGUUUUGAUUGUC